CCUACGGGAGACAGCAGUAGGGAAUAUUGCUCAAUGGGGGAAACCCUGAACCAGCAACGCCGCGUGAAGGAUGAAGGUUUUCGGAUUGUAAACUCCUUUUGUUAGAGAAGAUAAUGACGGUAUCUAACGAAUAAGCACCGGCUAACUCCGUGCCAGCAGCCGCGGUAAUACGGAGGGUGCAAGCGUUACUCGGAAUUACUGGGCGUAAAGAGAGCGUAGGCGGGAUAGCAAGUCAGAUGUGAAAUCCUAUGGCUUAACCAUAGAACUGCAUUUGAAACUGUUAUUCUAGAGUAUGGGAGAGGUAGGUGGAAUUCUUGGUGUAGGGGUAAAAUCCGUAGAGAUCAAGAGGAAUACUCAUUGCGAAGGCGACCUGCUAGAACAUAACUGACGCUGAGGCGCGAAAGCGUGGGGAGCAAACAGGAUUAGAUACCCUAGUAGUC
rnacentral:rRNA from 1 species